rnacentral:lncRNA from 1 species
GGGGUGUCCAGAAAGGUUGAGCCUGAGCAUGUGGCAUGCAGGAACACCGGGGCCGACAAAGCCCCCAGGCGGGGAGAUCUUGGUGGCCAGGGUCCCUGCGUCAUCAGCCAGUAUCUAGCUGGCCCUAGGGAGCCCAGGACAGAGUUUGGAGUGUGGACUCUGGACCAGCCUGCCUGGAGUGAAACCUCAGGGCUGCCACUUACCAUUCGAGGCCACAUGACCUGGGCGGGGUAUUGAAAGUCUCUUUGACUUUGUUUCCCCAUCUGUCAGUCAGGGAUCAGAACUGUAGCUUCCCCAUAGGGAUGCUUGAGGAUUAAACAAGUUAGAACGUGUAAGGACUCAGCAUCAAUCCGUAAGGGUUGGGGGUUCUCCUUGACCUCACCUGAGGAGCCCCAUGGAGACUUGACAAAGAAAACAGGCCCUGGGGCAGGGUGGAGGGGUUCCACCACGGGGAAGGCAGGCACGUUGAGCUCCCAUCCAGAGCAGGACCCUUGGCCUUCUUCACUCCUGGGCGAGGAAGGUGGGACAGUGUGUCUGCAGGGGUGGAGGGUACUUGCCCUGAGCUCCUGCCCCUGGGAAUCCAGCUUGGGGUGUCUCAGCUCAGAGGUGCCGAGCCAUAAAAUCACUCCUCAACCUGGACCACCCAGGGCACCCCUGAGAUCCUACUCAGAGUGGGGUUUCUGAUGGGGCAGCCAAUAGAGCCCUCUUCCUCUGCCUGAAUGAGAUAGAUUGAACAUGGAAAUAGCACUUGUCUUCCUUUUUUUUUUUUUUUUUAGGGCCCCACCCAUGGCAUACGGAAGUUCCCAAGCCAGGGGUCAAGGUGGAACUGCAACUGCCGGCCUAUGCCACAGCCACAGCAACGUCAGAUCCAAGCCCUGCCUGCAGCCUACACUGCAACUCACGGCAAUGCCUGAUCCUUAACCCACUGAGCAGGGCCAGGGAUCGAACCUGCGUCCUGAUGGAUAGAGUCUGGUUCCUUACCCCUGAGCCACAACAGGUACUCUACACUUGUCUUUCUGAUAAAGGCUAAGUUGGAGACCUGAACUUAGUCUGAAGGUCAAAUGGGUUUGCAGAAGCCGAAACGAGGCAGGUUCUCCCACCUGGCCCAGGACAGGGCUUCUUAGGGUGGGCGAUGCUGAAGAGAUGCUGCCUGUAGGAAGCUCAGUGCUUAGGAGCAAAGGGUCUGCCCACCCCACCUCCUCCAGGCCGGAGGGAGUAAAGGGGAGGAGCCAGGACAGGAAGGUACGGGUGGCGGAGCAGCGGGCUGGGAAGAAAGCAUCUGGAGGGGAGAGAAGCCACCUCCAUUCAGCCCUCCACGCCUCUGACGUCAUUCUUCCUCAAAGCCCCACAAAGAUGCCUCAAGUGGAAGUUGCAGUGCAGUACAGUGUUUCUACUCUAUGGACGUUGGUGCAGGACUGCUAGGUACGAAUCCUACUUCGGCUACUUCCUAGUUCUGUGCCAGGUGCUCUGGGGCCUCCAGAUUCCCACUUGAACAGGGGGAGGGUCCCACAGGAAGACUGACAGGAAGCUGGAGUCCUUAAACUCAUCAGGGCCUAGCUCAGGACCAGUUGGCAACUGGGAAUUUUGUUAUCAUGAUCUUUGUUAGCAUCUGCAGUGGCCUUCGGGGGGUUUCCAGCACUCCAGGAACAGACAGGCCUUUGCGCCACCUUAUGUAAAAGGGUGUAAUUGCAGGACUCUGCCUCCAAGGACGGGCAGCAAAGUCAGUGGAGGAUGGGGCCUCCUAGAGGCUUGGAGCUGGACCGACAGAACCCGAAGCUCCUGGGGCCAUGGGGUCACUCAUUUCUGUUCUCUGGGAGGCUUCCCAAAUCUCCUUCUUUUCCAUAUAUUGAAGCUUCCCCUACCCCGAGCAUGGCACCGAGAGCGAGAAAUAGCAUGUGAAUAAGAGAAUCAAGUUCCUGCCCUCAUGGGGUGACAGUCCAGUUAGGAAGACAGACAGUACCAUGGAGCAUGGGCUGGAUUCUUCUUCCUUUUGAAGGCUGAAUAAUAUUCCACUGCACGUACAGACGUUGUAUUUACCCUUUCAUCCAUCGACCGAUACCUGGUUUGCUUCCACCUUUAGGCUCCUGUGACUAAUGCUGCUAAGAACAUGGGUGUACAAGUCCCCCCUCUUCCUCUUACGAGUGAAACAAAUUAUAGUUAGGCAAGAUGGACCAAAAAAGGCAGGAUGGAAGGACCCAACCCAGUCUAGGGAAGGCAUUGGGGAUGAUUUUCACCUGAAAUUGAACAUAUGAGGUAAAGCAACAUUUUGGGUGGAAUCCAAAAGAGGAGAAGUUAGCCAGGUUAAAAAGUAAGUGAAGGAGUUCCCUGGUGGCUCAGCAGGUUAAGGAUCUGGUGCUGUCACUGUUGUGGCAGGGUUCCAUCCCUCGCCUCAAGCUCUGGGGUGGGGGAGGGGUGGCCAGAAAAACAAAAAACAAAACAAAAAAGUAAGCGAAGAAGAGCUUUAGACACAUGUGAUAGCCAUGGGACUGAAAGAGGCUCGGGUUGUUCUAGAAGUGGAAAUGGGGCCAGUGUGACAGGGGCAUAAAGGUGAAAGGGGGAUGGGAUAGGUCUUAGGGGUCUUGCGGGACUCAUUACAAAUGGGCUUUUUCUGACGAACGGGUGUGGACAAUUGAAGACAUUUAAGCAGAAGCGUGAAGUGUCCAAAUAUGGACGUCGAGCCCCCAAAUCCCUGCAGUCACCGCAGGAGGAGCGAAUUGGAAGUCAGAGCGGGUGGGGCAGGAGUGAAUGUGGCCCCAGCAUCACAGUUCCCCAGGCAGGAGGUCCUGGUGGCCCCAGCAUGUCCCUUUGCCUCCUACAUCCCAUUCCAAGUCAUUCAAACUUCUCCCAGAUUAGCUAUGGUCAAAAUUUUAAAAACAUGCUUCUCUCUAGUCCUACUUUUCAGUAGUGAGCAUAUAUUUAUAGUGGAAAAAAAGAGACUUGGAAAAGCAAAGAAAAUAUCAAUUUAUAAAAUAUUAUAGUAUGUACAUAAUAUUAUGUAAAAUAGUAUUAAGCAGAAUCCACCUGACUCCUGUUUAAGGGAGGCCUAUUGUGGUGCCUUAUGGGGGACGGUUAUAUUUGCCUUUGAUCAUUUCUGGCAAGUGUUUCUGGGAAAUUCCUGCUCUGGAUUCAUUGCAGGAACUCUACUCCUUAGGAUGGAAAGGAUGGAGAGGGAAUAUUCCUUGUAAUCAGGUGACAUACGGGGGUGACUAGGUCUCAUGGCACAUCAUUCUAGAGGAAAUCCCUGAAGUCCUGGUACCCAGCCGCAUCCCUACUUUCCUCCCUCCCUCACUGAUGCACCCAUCUCACCUGGAAACAGCGGAGAUGCAGGGAAGAGAGGAGAUAUAGGCUUGCAGGAACGAGACAUCCUUUUCCAUCCGAGCUGAGCUGAUCGAUUUAGAUGGACAGAUGUGAGCUAAUCAAUUGUAAGGAAAGCAAGAUAUUCAUCAAGGUCAAAGAUAUAUUCACAUGUAUCUUGGGCUAAAAUAAAACAAUGGAGGCUCAACAAAUAUUUGGAUAAAUACUUAUCUUGAAGACUAUUAAGAGUGCAUAUUUUUCCCUUUCUCUCCCAACUUGUCCCAUUCAACAAACCAUCUCCCACUCAUGACUCGAAUAUAAUGUAUUUAUUUAUAUCCCAAGUCAAUCCAAAAAGGAGUUGCUCUGGCUUCCAAAAGACAAAAACCCUGAUAAUAAAACCAAGGUAUAUGAACUCAAAUUGGAAAACAGAUUGGAGAAGAAAAAUUAAAAACCAAAUAUUCAUUCCAGUUGCUCCCAGGGAGCCUAGUGCCAGGAUUGAAGUGUUCUGCUGGUUAGGAUGAAAAAGGAAACUUCAUACACAUCUCUCUUGAUCAGGAAAAAGGAUACAUUGUGACUUUUUUUCAGGGAAGACCUAGUAUUUCCUGGUCCCAAAUUUGGAAAGAAAUUUCUCCAAUGGUACAUGAUAGAGAGACAGAAUGAACCCUAUCUUAAUAACAGUUUGG